GAAGCUACAUCGUUAGAAUAGAGAAGAAGUUGAAGUUCAUGUCAUGAUAAAGUUUCAUUCAAAAAAGUGCUUGUUAGUAUCUGCAAAAGCCCAAAAGAUGUUGGGAGCGAUUAGAUUUAGAAGAUGAGUAUUGAUAUAUAGAAGGUAAUAUUGUUGUUGUUGCUGCAACCAUAUACAAUGUACCUGUAUUGCUGCUAUCUUCUUCUCAUUUUGAA